GAUGAACGCUGGCGGCGUGCCUAACACAUGCAAGUCGAACGAAGCUAGCUUGAAAGAGACUUCGGUCAAUUGAUAGCCAAGACUUAGUGGCGGACGGGUGAGUAACGCGUGGGUAACCUGCCCUUUACAGGGGGACAACAGUUGGAAACGACUGCUAAUACCGCAUAAGCGCACAGUAUCGCAUGAUACAGUGUGAAAAGAUUUAUCGGUAAAGGAUGGACCCGCGUCUGAUUAGCUAGUUGGUGAGGUAAUGGCUCACCAAGGCGACGAUCAGUAGCCGGCCUGAGAGGGUGAACGGCCACAUUGGGACUGAGACACGGCCCAAACUCC
rnacentral:rRNA from 1 species